GACGAACGCUGGCGGCGUGCCUAAUACAUGCAAGUUGAGCGAUGAAGCUUGGUGCUUGCACCAAUUUGAAGAACAGCGAACGGGUGAGUAACGCGUGGGGAAUCUGCCUUUGAGCGGGGGACAACAUUUGGAAACGAAUGCUAAUACCGCAUAACAACUUUAAACAUAAGUUUUAAGUUUGAAAGAUGCAAUUGCAUCACUCAAAGAUGAUCCCGCGUUGUAUUAGCUAGUUGGUGAGGUAAAGGCUCACCAAGGCGAUGAUACAUAGCCGACCUGAGAGGGUGAUCGGCCACAUUGGGACUGAGACACGGCCCAAACUCCUACGGGAGGCAGCAGUAGGGAAUCUUCGGCAAUGGACGAAAGUCUGACCGAGCAACGCCGCGUGAGUGAAGAAGGUUUUCGGAUCGUAAAACUCUGUUGGUAGAGAAGAACGUUGGUGAGAGUGGAAAGCUCAUCAAGUGACGGUAACUACCCAGAAAGGGACGGCUAACUACGUG
rnacentral:rRNA from 1 species